rnacentral:rRNA from 1 species
UCGCUCCUACCGAUUUCGAGUGAUCCGGUGAACCUUUUUGAGUGCCUCACGGCACAAAAUCAAGUAAACCUUAUCACUUAGAGGAAGGAG